rnacentral:rRNA from 1 species
GUCGGAAUUGCUAGUAAUCGCGGAUCAGCAUGCCGCGGUGAAUACGUUCCCGGGCCUUGUACACACCGCCCGUCACACCAUGGGGGCCGGGUAAUACCCGAAGUCAGUAGUCCAACCUCGUGAGGACGCUGCCGAAGGUAGGAUUGGCGACUGGGGUGAAGUCGUAACAAGGUAAC